GCGAGAGUGGCGAAAUUGGCAGACGCGCUGGAUUUAGGAUCCAGUGCCGAAAGGCAUGCGGGUUCAACUCCCGCCUCUCGCA
rnacentral:tRNA from 3 species